CACGUUUAAUAUACCAAGCGCCCUUUCUAUUAUCAUUUUUUUGAAAUGAUUUUUCUCAACCACAAACCCUAGCUGCCUGAGAGAGAUUCCCUCUCUCUUCUUCCAUGUUGCCGGAAAUAGUAAAGAUUCAGGCGCAUAUUGCUUUAUUCAGUUAGUGUUCGACGGAUUUGAAAAUGUUUUUCCCUCUCUCCACCGCGUCUCCACCAACAAUAGGUAAAAUCCUCACCCUCUCUCUCUCCUUUUUGCUUUUUUUGCUCUCAAGGAGAAAAAUCCUUAAUGGUAUUUGUCUUACUAUUGCUCAAAAACACAAAUUUUCAUUGGUUCUUAGCUUAAAUCUUUCAAAAGAAAAGGAUAAAUCCAAGAAAUCUUCAAAAUUCCAAGGUCCCACAUUGAUUUCAAGAGAAAUCUGUGGGUUUUAGGGGUUCUAUAUAAAGAAGUCCUUAUUUCAUUGCAAAAACAAGUCUCAAUCGAGCAAAACCCCCAAAAUUUUAAGUUUCCAGCAAGGGAUCCGAUUAGAAUUGGAAUCCUUGCUUAGUUUACUUAAUUUUGGGAUCAGUCUAAUGUUUUCUUUAAUUUCGAUUUGUGUGUCGUGGCUGAGUUGGGUGCUAAGGAGCUCAAAGAUCUCCAAUGCCAAUUCUCGACAAAGGCUGCACAAAAGAAAGGAACACAAUAUAUAAGAUGGAGAGAUGAGAUAGAAAGGGAGAGGGGAUCGAGAGGGAGGAGAUCUAGAGGCCUCCAACGAUACAAUUAUUGCUUCUCAAUCAAAUCUAUCUGGCAUAUACAUAAUGUUUGUAGUUUAGAUAUAUUGAAUUGUUAUCAAAUAGAUUAGUUUAUGUUGAAUUUAGAUUUUAUGAUUACAUUUUAUUACAACAUCUCUUCUAUCGAU